rnacentral:rRNA from 1 species
UACGUAGGGGGCAAGCGUUGUCCGGAUUCAUUGGGCGUAAAGAGCUCGUAGGCGGCUUGGCAAGUCGGGUGUGAAAACUCCAGCUCAACCUGGAGACGCCACCCGAUACUGCCAUGGCUAGACGUCCGGUAGGGGACCACGGAAUUCCUGGUGUAGCGGUGGAAGUGCGCAGAUAUCAGGAGGAACACCGGUGGCGAAGGCGGUGGUCUGGGCCGGAACUGACGCUGAGGAGCGAAAGCGUGGGGAGCGAACAGG